UCAACUGCAACUACCAUCCUCAUCCUCAUCCGAAGCUAAACAUUCCCUGAACAGAGACCAGCUGCUUGCAGUUUCUGAUGGACUGUACACUGCCAUCUUCUUGAUAGAGGCCAACAAGGAGUGUUGCUACUUUACCUGUUAACUGUGUUCUGUGAAAACAAAGACAAAGAAGAUUAAGUCUGCUAUGAAAUACAAAAUUACAAGAGAUUGGGGAAAUAAAUCUGCGGUAUAUGUCCAGUUCCUAUUACGGUAUGUUGGACGAGUUGUGAGCUGGAAUCAUUUAGCUUAAAGUUGGUACGUGGGCAUAUGGAUAUAGAACUAGGCUCAUUCAAUUGCUUACAUGUGUGAUCUCAAGGAUCGGCGGUCGGUUUCCUUUCUCUCUACUCUGUAGUUGGUAUGUUUAUCUGAUUGUACAACGGAAAUGCUGUCAAACAAGUGACAAUAGUAAUUAAUUGUUGCCUUCAAUUGAACAUUACUCAUCUCUCUUUUAUAUUUAAUCACUCUUGUUGGUACGCUAAUUCAAUUUCUCUUUUAUAUGAACUCUCCAAUUAGCAGUUCCUUCACAGCUUGUUGCUACUUAUGGUGAUUUUUCGCCUACCUCAAGAUGCCUUCUAGCGCUUGCCACCUGUCAGGCGAAUGACAUGCUCAGCAUUUUAAUUUCCUUUUUUGAUAUACGGUCAUUUCUGUUACAAUCCUGAAUAUUACCGCUUCUUCCUUUAUUAUGAUCUUCUGAAUGACAUGUCACCUAGGCUUGCUCAGUGACUUCUACCUUAUUCAACUGCAACCAUCUUCCGCAUCCUCAUCCGAAGCUAAACAUUCCCUGAACAGAGGUUAAUGUACAUAUGUUACUAGUAAUGUCGAAUUAUGCCAUUCAUGGUUCGUAUCAAUAGCAUCCUUUCAGCACUGCCACUGUUUAAUUUUCAGAACAGCUGCUUGCAGUUUUUGAUGGACAGUACACUGCCAUCUUCUUGAUAGAGGCCAACAAGGAGUGUUGCUACUUUGCCUGUUAACUGUAUUCUAUGCAUCUUGUUUAGCUUAUAAACAAUUGCAGUAGCGAACUGUGGGGUUUCAAUUGGAUAUCGAGUUAUCGACCAUCUUACAUAUCACUCCUACUGAAUGUAGUGCCAUCUUGAGUUAUUUGUUACUAGUUCAUUGCUGCACCAUCUUGUCUUAACAAUUGUUCUCCACUGGUAGUCUAUUUUCCAUAGCAGUAACUGAUUCAUGCCUAGUUGUAUCAUGAUAAUAAUGUGCUUACAGUUAUUGUAAUUUCCAUGUCCGUAUAAAAAGAUAUCAAGUUUCAGUUGAGUAUAGCUUUAUUAAAAAUGUUUGAACAUGACAUGACAUGAAGCUGAUUUGAUUUUUUUCUAGUCCAACACUUUAACUGUUUCUUGUUUGGAAUGAAGUAUUUCUUGUUAUUAUCUUCUUGUGAACCAGCUGUGGCUAUGCCCUUGAGUAAUACUGGUGGGAGUGGGAUGAUCUCAGGCCUAUUGUUUCUGAUGUGUUGAUGGUCGCUAACUUUAUCGAGCAACAAAAGGCAGGAGCAGGACAAAGGGAUAAGAACUACUUGUACUUGCGUCCCUUCUGUCAGUUUACUGACAGUGGGAGAGGAGAAGCUAAUCGGUGAACAAAUCAAGACCUGAAUGUGCAAUGAACUGAGCUCAACUGCUGUGAGCCUUCUGGACCAAGGAGGCUAGGACAACAAAUGGUGAGAAGCAGACAGAUUUGUUUUGGAGGGAAAAAGAUAUU